UAGGGGGUGAAAAGCCCCCUCGCCGAAAGCGCAAGGUUUCCUACGCAACGUUCAUCGGCGUAGGGUGAGUCGGCCCCUAAGGCGAGGCAGAGAUGCGUAGCUGAUGGGAAACAGGUCAAUAUUCCUGUACCGAUUGCAAGUGCGAUGUGGGGACGGAGAAGGUUAGCUCAGCCAACUGUUGGAUAUGUUGGUUCAAGCGUGUAGUCGUGUCUCUUAGGCAAAUCCGGGAGAAUUAGAUGAGGCGUGAUAACGAGUCUGCUUGCAGACGAAGUGAGUGAUACCCUGCUUCCAAGAAAAGCCACUAAGCUUCAGCUUGUAAUUGACCGUACCGCAAACCGACACUGGUGCGCGAGAUGAGUAUUCUAAGGCGCUUGAGAGAACUCUGGAGAAGGAACUCGGCAAAUUGACACCGUAACUUCGGAAGAAGGUGUGCCUUUAGUAGGUGAACCAUUUACUUGGGGAGCCCAAUGAGGCCGCAGAGAAUCGGUGGCUGCAACUGUUUAUUAAAAACACAGCACUCUGCAAAGACGAAAGUCGACGUAUAGGGUGUGACUCCUGCCCGGUGCUGGAAGAUUAAAUGAUGGGGUGCAAGCUCUUGACUGAAGUCCCAGUAAACGGCGGCCGUAACGAUAACGGUCCUAAGGUAGCGAAAUUCCUUGUCGGGUAAGUUCCGACCUGCACGAAUGGAGUAAUGAUGGCCACACUGUCUCCUCCAGAGACUCAGCGAAGUUGAAAUGUUUGUGAUGAUGCAAUCUCCCCGCGGAAAGACGGAAAGACCCCAUGAACCUUUACUGUAGCUUUACAUUGGACUUUGAACAGAUCUGUGUAGGAUAGGUGGGAGGCUUUGAAGAGUGGACGCUAGUUUGCUUGGAGCCAACGUUGAAAUACCACCCUGGUGUGUUUGAGGUUCUAACCUUGGUCCCUUAUCGGGAUUGGGGACAGUGUAUGGUGGGCAGUUUGACUGGGGCGGUCUCCUCCCAAAGUGUAACGGAGGAGUUCGAAGGUACGCUAAAUACGGUCGGAAAUCGUGUUGAUAGUGCAUUGGCAUAAGCGUGCUUGACUGCGAGACUGACAAGUCGAGCAGGUACGAAAGUAGGACAAAGUGAUCCGGUGGUUCUGUAUGGAAGGGCCAUCGCUCAACGGAUAAAAGGUACUCUGGGGAUAACAGGCUGAUACCGCCCAAGAGUUCAUAUCGACGGCGGUGUUUGGCACCUCGAUGUCGGCUCAUCUCAUCCUGGGGCUGUAGCCGGUCCCGAGGGUAUGGCUGUUCGCCAUUUAAAGAGGUACGUGAGCUGGGUUUAAAACGUCGUGAGACAGUUUGGUCCCUAUCUUCCGUGGGCGCUGCAAGAUUGAGAGAGCCUGCUCCUAGUACGAGAGGACCGGAGUGGACGCACCUCUGGUGUAUCGGUUGUCACGCCAGUGGCAUCGCCGAGUAGCUAAGUGCGGAAGAGAUAACCGCUGAAAGCAUCUAAGCGGGAAACUCGUCUCAAGAUGAGUCUUGCCGGGGCCUAGAGCCCCCUGAAGGGUCGUUCGAGACCAGGACGUUGAUAGGCUGGGUGUGGAAGCGCGGUAACGCGUUAAGCUAACCAGUACUAAUUGCCCGUGAGGCUUGACCCC
rnacentral:rRNA from 1 species